UUAGGUUGGCCGCAUUAAUUGGGUUGGCAGCAUUUAUGAAAUCGGUUGGAAUAGUGCCUGAGUUGGGGCUAUAUAUAGCCAUGAAACAUGAGCUAUUCCAUCACACCUCCUACUUCUCUUCUUACUUUCCUUCUCCUUUCUCCUUCCUCCUCCAUUUUCACCUCCUUUUUAAGCUUUUAUUUUGUAGUCUUGAGCUCCUCACGAGCACCUCCUUGCCGCCACCUCCUUCCUUGCGUUGAACCGAGGUAUUUCCGGUUCGUAACUAGGAACCCCGUGUUUGUUUUGCAAAGAUCAAGAUAGGUGAUGGCGAUCGAACGACGUGAACUAUAUGCUGCAUGGGGAGUGAUGGGCGGUGAUCACCUAGCUUAAUCUAGUAGACAUAGUAUUAGUGGUGUAGUUUUUUUGAAAAUGUAUCAAACUAUUAUUACUACUAUUAUUAUCAUUAAUGAAAGUUAAGUACUAUUUUCCGCUGCAAAAAAAAAAAAAA